UUGAGGAUGCAGACUAGGCAAAACAGAUAACCUGAGGAGCCGUCAUUGGAAACUGUUUGGAAAUGGGCUAGGCACUGGAUGAACCCUCUGUCUAUUGCGUCUAUAAUUGUUUUAGAUAAGCAGUCACACAGCUAAAUCAUGGCUGCAGCUGCCAGUAGCUCCUCGCCAUACGCUAAUUGGUUUAGUAGGCUGGAUGUUCAGACACAAACACAAUUACCUGAAGCCUGACAAGAUGGAUUUUCAUGUGAUAAGUCAUCCAGUUAUUCUUGCAUGAUCUCGUGAUAUUGCGAGAAUCCAGCUGCCGAGCAUGGUAACAAAACAGAUGCACUUGACUUAACUUGACUAGAAGGUUUUAACCCCCUAAAAUCCAGACAUUUCAUUUACCCUAAUAGCUUCAAGGUUGUUAUAACCAUCUUUAAAAAGCUAUUUUACAUUCCUCUCUGUCACGCCAACACUUGCACUAAUUACUCAUCUUCUUAA